AUGCAGAUGACAACCCUUUACGAGUCUUUUCUCAAGGGCUCGGAAACGAUCAUGACCCUGACUGGUAAUCAGGAUUACCCAAAAAUCCUGAAGGACAUGAUGAAGCAUAUUCAUCUUGAAGGAGAUGCAGUCUACAAGGGUUAUCCUUUCAUGGAGAAUGGAGUUAAACUUUGGUACGUGGAGGUACACCUCCACCAUGUGAAGGGAGUUUCCCAAAGACUAUGGGUCAAUACUUUUUCAUUCCUCGAGUACCACGAGCAACAUUCUUUGAUUCUAUUUGUGAAGCUGCCAUGGAAGCCAUACGUCAGAUGGGAGAAAUACUAG
rnacentral:rRNA from 1 species